AAAGCUCUUUGGUUAAUGCGGUUUGUGAGGGAGAAGUAUACAGAGUUGGGAGAUUCCACAUGUUUUCUCACCUACCUUUUUGAAGUCUAAAAAUUCUAUCAUCUAGGUUACUGAUGCUGAGAAUUUUAGGUUUUUUCAAUGUCAAGAUAUGAGUCGAUUUAGAGAAUAAUAUUAUCUUCUUUUAAGGUGAGCAAAGAAAUUUCCAUUUAAUUCUGGAAUGAUCAUUGAUGCAGAAAUCACCUCUUUAACCAAUUCCAGGUGCUAUUAUUGAAGCGUUCAGAUUGGGAUCUUCCAUUAGCAAUUACUUAUUAUGAUAACCAGGUGACAUGGGCAUGGCAGUAGGAACCCAAGACAGUAAUAUGAAGAUGGUCUUGGAUUUUAAGAAAACCUUUUCAAACCAAAGUGCCGUAAGGAAAGGAGGAUAAAACAAGAUAUAGAUAGGUGUCAACAAAGAAGAGGGAUUAUGAUGCAAAAUCCUUUUAGAACAAUAUAUUAGAGAGGUGAAGUGCAAGAACAGUUUUCUUUUCCAUGGAGCCCUAUUUAGAGAAUGAAAGUGCCUACAAAAUAUCCUUCUUCACUUGGGAAAGCUAUCUGGGAAAAUUUUCACAGUUGAAAAAUUGAUGAACACAUCUAGUAAAUGUAUGCUUGCAUCGUAAAAAGCAAGGUAAGUCAGAAAAAUUGCUUCUUCAUUCAGAUUGAGUGGGCCAGCUUACUCCUAAGCAUAUCAGCAGUAUUCCCCCUUUGAUGUUCUUAUUAACAUGGCUUUUAGUUUCAAAAAUAGUUACAUAAUGUUAAAAUAAAAGCAUGUAAAAAACCUGAAGAACAAACACAAUUUACCGAAUGAGUAAUAUUCUCAAGAGA
rnacentral:misc_RNA from 1 species